CAGCAGCCGCGGUAAUACGAAGGGUGCAAGCGUUACUCGGAAUUACUGGGCGUAAAGCGUGCGUAGGUGGUGGUUUAAGUCCGAUGUGAAAGCCCUGGGCUCAACCUGGGAAUUGCAGUGGAUACUGGGUCACUAGAGUGUGGUAGAGGAUAGUGGAAUUUCCGGUGUAGCAGUGAAAUGCGUAGAGAUCGGAAGGAACAUCUGUGGCGAAGGCGACUAUCUGGGCCAACACUGACACUGAGGCACGAAAGCGUGGGGAGCAAACAGGAUUAGAGACCCCGGUAGUCCCUGUCUCUUAUAC
rnacentral:rRNA from 1 species